rnacentral:lncRNA from 1 species
AGGAGGAGGAGCCGACCGGAGAGAGAUGGAGCUUCUGGCCAGACUUCGGAACAAGAAGGACACAACAACCUUGUAAGGUCUUGUAGAGGCGAUAACUGGCAGCCUCUGCCACUGGCGGAUAGCUGAUAUAAGCUAGCAGAUAAGACACAACAGUUCAGGCUGACCUCUGUUUUGAUGGAUCCUGAGUGAAGGCUACAGUUGGGGAACAACAACAACAACUACUACUACUACUUACUACUUCUACUACUUCUACUACUACUACUACUACUACUACUACUACUACUAGCAGCAGCAACUACUACUACUUACUACUUCUACUACUACUACUAGCAGCAGCAACUACUACUACUUACUACUUCUACUACUACUACUAGCAGCAACUACUACUACUUACUACUACUACUACUACUACUAGCAGCAGCAGCAGCAGCAGGCUGGCUAGAGAGAUGGCUCAGCGGUUAAGAGCACUUAGCUGCUCUUCCAGAGGUUCCGAGUUCAACCUACUUGGUGGCUCACAACCAUCUGUAAUGGCAUCUGAUGCCCUCUUCUGGUGUGUCUGAAGAGAGCAACAAUGUACUCAUAUACAUUAAAUAAAUAAAUCUUUUAAUAAUAAUAA